GAUGAACGCUGGCGGCGUGCCUAAUACAUGCAAGUCGAGCGAAUGGAUUAAGAGCUUGCUCUUAUGAAGUUAGCGGCGGACGGGUGAGUAACACGUGGGUAACCUGCCCAUAAGACUGGGAUAACUCCGGGAAACCGGGGCUAAUACCGGAUAACAUUUUGAACCGCAUGGUUCGAAAUUGAAAGGAGGCUUGGGCUGUCACUUAUGGAUGGACCCGCCUCGCAUUAGCUAGUUGGUGAGGUAACGGCUCACCAAGGCAACGAUGCGUAGCCGACCUGAGAGGGGGAUCGGCCACACUGGGACUGAGACACGGCCCAGACUCCUACGGGAGGCAGCAGUAGGGAAUCUUCCGCAAUGGACGAAAGUCUGACGGAGCAACGCCGCGUGAGUGAUGAAGGCUUUCGGGUCGUAAAACUCUGUUGUUAGGGAAGAACAAGUGCUAGUUGAAUAAGCUGGCACCUUGACGGUACCUAACCAGAAAGCCACGGCUAACUACGUGCCAGCCGCCGCCGUAA
rnacentral:rRNA from 1 species